UGCCAGCCGCCGCGGUAAUACGAAGGGGGCUAGCGUUGUUCGGAAUUACUGGGCGUAAAGCGCACGUAGGCGGACUUUUAAGUCAGAUGUGAAAUCCCAAGGCUCAACCCCGGAAGUGCACUUGAAACAGCAAGACUUGAAUACGGUAGAGGAGAGAGGAAUUCCUGGUGUAGAGGUGAAAUUCGUAGAUAUCAGGAGGAACACCGAUGGCGAAGGCAUCUCUCUGGGCCGAUAUUGACGCUGAGGCGCGAAGGCGUGGGUAGCGAACGGGAUUAGAUA
rnacentral:rRNA from 1 species